GACGAACGCUGGCGGCGUGCCUAAUACAUGCAAGUCGAGCGCAGGAAACUGACGGAACUCUUCGGAGGGAAGGCAGCGGAAUGAGCGGCGGACGGGUGAGUAACACGUAAGGAACCUGCCUCAAGGAUUGGGAUAACUCCGAGAAAUCGGAGCUAAUACCGGAUAGUUCAACGGACCGCAUGGUCCGCUGAUGAAAGGCCCUCCGGCGUCACCUUGAGAUGGCCUUGCGGUGCAUUAGCUAGUUGGUGGGGUAACGGCUCACCAAGGCGACGAUGCAUAGCCGACCUGAGAGGGUGAUCGGCCACACUGGGACUGAGACACGGCCCAGACUCCUACGGGAGGCAGCAGUAGGGAAUCUUCCACAAUGGACGAAAGUCUGAUGGAGCAACGCCGCGUGAGUGAUGAAGGUUUUCGGAUCGUAAAACUCUGUUGUAAGGGAAGAACACGUACGAGAGGGAAUGCUCGUACCUUGACGGUACCUUACGAGAAAGCCACGGCUAACUACGUGCCAGCAGCCGCGGUAA
rnacentral:rRNA from 1 species